UACGGAGGGGGCAAGCGUUGUUCGGAAUUAUUGGGCGUAAAGCGCUCGUAGGCGGUUUGUUGCGUCGGCCGUGAAAACCUGCAGCUUAACUGUGGGCCUGCGGCCGAUACGGGCAGACUUGAGUUCGGUAGGGGUGACUGGAAUUCCUGGUGUAGCGGUGAAAUGCGCAGAUAUCAGGAGGAACACCGGUGGCGAAGGCGGGUCUCUGGGCCGAUACUGACGCUGAGGAGCGAAAGCGUGGGGAGCGAACAGG
rnacentral:rRNA from 1 species